rnacentral:ncRNA from 1 species
CAAAGGCUUGGUCCUGACUUUACUAUCAACUCUAGCUAAAUUUACACAUGCAAGUAUCCGCACCCCUGUGAGAAUGCCCUAACAGUUCCCCGCCCGGGAACAAGGAGCUGGUAUCAGGCACAUCCAUCCAUAGCCCACGACACCUUGCUUAGCCACACCCUCAAGGGAAUUCAGCAGUGAUAAACAUUAAGCCAUAAGUGAAAACUUGACUUAGUUAGAGCUAAGAGGGCCGGUAAAACUCGUGCCAGCCACCGCGGUUAUACGAGAGGCUCAAGUUGAUAGACUUCGGCGUAAAGCGUGGUUAAGAAAAUUUCAAACUAAAGCCGAAUGCCCUCAGAGCUGUUAUACGCUCACGACGGCUAGAAGCCCAAUUACGAAAGUAGCUUUACACAACCUGAACCCACGAAAGCUAUGGCACAAACUGGGAUUAGAUACCCCACUAUGCAUAGCCCUAAACAUAAAUAGUACAAUACACCCACUAUUCGCCCGGGGACUACGAGCAUCAGCUUAAAACCCAAAGGACUUGGCGGUGCUUUAGAUCCACCUAGAGGAGCCUGUUCUAGAACCGAUAACCCCCGUUCAACCUCACCCUUCCUUGCUCUUUUCCGCCUAUAUACCGCCGUCGCCAGCUUACCCUAUGAAGGACUUACAGUAAGCAAAAUUGGCACAGCCCAGAACGUCAGGUCGACGUGUAGCGUAUGGAGGGGGAAGAAAUGGGCUACAUUCCCUAACACAGUGAACACGAAAGGCGCACUGAAACGUGCACCAUGAAGGAGGAUUUAGCAGUAAGCAGGAAGUAGAGUGUCCCGCUGAAACCGGCCCUGAAGCGCGCACACACCGCCCGUCAUUCUCCCCGAGCUUAUAUACUCACUUAACUAAAACCCUAAAAUUGCUAAGGGGAGGCAAGUCGUAACAUGGUAAGUGUACCGGAAGGUGCACUUGGAACAAAU